rnacentral:rRNA from 1 species
AUGUUGCUCUAUUCACCUGCAAUCUGUUUGGGGCGAUCUGCCUCAAGUAGUAUGUACGCUCAUUCGAAUCAGUUUCAAGGAGGAGCCGCACAGAGUAUGGUCUUAUGGAACUGCUCCCGACCGCAGUCAAGCCGUUCUCAUAUGACAUUGGGCGUAGCCGAUUCUUCUCAUAAUAAGAAUAUAAGAACUUCUGAAGCGCAGAGUCUGAAGUACUUUGUCAGCUUAGUGGGCCGACGAUUGCGUCGCGGAUUGUCAACCAGAGAGGGCAGUCUAAGUGUAAAGCUCGACAUGCUUUCACGCGACAGAAUGUCGGGUACUAAUUGGAAAUGGAGAGGCGUCCAUCAAAAGAUAGGAGCUACGGCCGGUGGGCUCUGCUUUGGUUUUUCAGUUUCAGGGAUCGCAAAAGCCGAGAUGCCUGUGGACAGAAAGAUCAACUGUGCAGAAACUUCAGCAUCAUCUUCCCAUGGGAAGAAAGUCUACACGAAUUAUUCUGUCACCGGGAUUCCAGGAGAUGGGAGGUGCUUAUUCCGCUCCGUGGUUCAUGGGGCAUGCAUCCGCUCAGGGAAACCUAUCCCUAAUGAAGAUCUUCAGAGAAAGCUAGCUGAUGAAUUGAGGUCAAUGGUUGCUGAUGAAUUUGUCACUAGACGAGAAGAGACUGAAUGGUUUGUUGAGGGCGAUUUUGAUACAUACGUUUCCCAGAUUAGGCAGCCACAUGUGUGGGGUGGUGAGCCAGAACUGUUCAUGGCUUCACAUGUUCUCCAGAUGCCAAUAACUGUGUAUAUGCAUGACGAAGAUGUGGGUGGCUUAAUAACUAUUGCUGAAUAUGGCCAAGAGUACGGUAAAGAAGAUCCAAUACAAGUUCUGUAUCAUGGUUUUGGCCAUUAUGAUUCCCUACAGAUUCAGAAGACAUAG